rnacentral:rRNA from 1 species
UUCAGAUGUGAAAGACCCGGGGCGUCAACCUCCGGAAUAGCAUUUGAAACUAGGCAGACUAGAGUACUGUAGAGGGGGGUAGGAAGUUUCAGGUGUAGCGGUGAAAUGCGUAGAGAUCUGAAGGAAUACCGGUGGCGAAGGCGGCCCCCUCGGACAGAUACUGACACUCAGAUGCGAAAGCGUGGGGAGCAAACAGGAUUAGAUACCCUGGUAG